UACAGAGGUCCCAAGCGUUGUUCGGAUUCAUUGGGCGUAAAGGGUGCGUAGGCGGCGCGGUAAGUCGGGUGUGAAAUCUCGGAGCUUAACUCCGAAACUGCAUUCGAUACUGUCGGGCUCGAGUGCGGAAGAGGCGAGUGGAAUUCCUGGUGUAGCGGUGAAAUGCGCAGAUAUCAGGAGGAACACCAAUUGCGAAGGCAGCUCGCUGGGACGUUACUGACGCUGAGACGCGAAAGCGUGGGGAGCAAACAGG
rnacentral:rRNA from 1 species